rnacentral:lncRNA from 1 species
AAAUCCAUACCCGUUCGAGCUCUAAUACAUAUACUUAGAGCUUAUGCAAAUCAAAUCUGACGAACCCUAACGCAAUACCUUACGGCUUAGUCAGAUCCUCACUCUAGAACAUAUAACUAGAGUGAAAAAUAUAUCAAACUCGGUUAAUCCUGACACAUACACUCAGGAAUUAGCCACUAUCCACCUUCGGGUAAUAUCAAAUCCAACUUACCUCAAUACAUAUACUU